rnacentral:rRNA from 1 species
GACGAACGCUGGCGGCGUGCUUAAUACAUGCAAGUCAACUGAACUUUAGGUAGCAAUAUUUAAAGGGAGGUGGCGCACGGGUGAGUAACACGUAGGUAAUCUGCCUUCAGGACUGACAUAACUCCGCGAAAGCGGGACUAAAAUCAGAUGAUGCAGCGGCUCGACAUCGAGACAGUUGUUAAACCUUCGGGGCCUGAAGAUGAGCCUGCGUCUGAUUAGGUAGUUGGAGGGGUAAUGGCCCACCAAGCCUGCGAUCAGUAGCUGGUCUGAGAGGAUGAUCAGCCACACUGGAACUGAGACACGGUCCAGACUCCUACGGGGGGCAGCAGUAAGGAAUAUUGCUCAAUGGCCGAAAGGCUGAAGCAGCAACGCCGCGUGGAGGAUGAAAUACUUUAGUAUGUAAACUCCUGUAAGAGGGGAAAAAUAUACAGUUCUGCUGUAUUGAUUGUACCCUCAGAGUAAGCACCGGCUAACUACGUGCCAG